GCGGGUUUAGCUCAGUUGGGAGAGCGUCAGACUGAAGCUAAACUUCAGUUUCAGAGUUAUCUGAAGGUCCCGUGUUCGAUCCACGGAAACCGCA
rnacentral:tRNA from 1 species